GCCGCGUUGGCGUAGUGGUAGCGCGUCUCACUCGUAUGAUUACGUACUAUGAGAAGGUCAUUUGUUCAAUCCAGAUACGUGGCA